rnacentral:rRNA from 1 species
UACGAAGGGGGCGAGCGUUAUUCGGAAUCACUGGGCGUAAAGCGUGCGUAGGCUGUUUCACAAGUUGGAAGUGAAAGCCCAGGGCUCAACCCUGGAAUUGCUUUCAAAAACUGUGAGACUCGAAUCUCGGAGAGGAUAGCGGAAUUUCCAGUGUAGUAGUGAAAUACGUAGAUAUUGGAAGGAACACCAGUGGCGCAAGCGGCUAUCUGGACGAGUAUUGACGCUGAGGCACGAAAGCGUGGGGGAUCAAAACAGG